CAUAAUGACCUCUCCAUAUUUAGCUGUAAUUAGUUAAGAACAAUGUAGGUCAAGCUAAGAACAAAACUAAUAUAACCUCUUAAAACAGUCAUAACUAAGAUACUAACCUCCUUCAAUUAAACGGAGAUGAAAACCUAGCCCUUACAGAGUUUACAAUUUUAUAGAAUUUAAAUAAUUGUUUAAACUCAUUUCCAUAAUUAUAAGAAACAAUUGAAUAAAAUUUAUGAAUAUAGAAGGAUUUCUAUGAUAAUCUUUACUUUUAAAUCAAACAUGCCUUAAUAUAACCAUACUUCAUAAAUUUACUCACAAAGAUUUUGAAAAGUAUUCAUUUGCCAUUUAUGAUUUUAAGCAAUUUAAUGUAUGAAUUUAUAAUGUCUUAUUCAUUUGAAAAAACAAAAACUAAAACUCAUCAAAAAAAAUAUAAACUUCAAAAUGUGCUCAUCAUUACUCUAUUGCAUAGAUCUACUCAUAAGAAUUCUAAAAAGUAUUUAUUUUCUAUUUUUUGAAUUUUAUACAAUUUACUAUGAAUUUACAUAAAAAUUUAGCUAAAACUCUCUCUCUUGCCCUAUGAACCCUAACCCUAGUCCUAAGCAAGAAUGCAUGAUGAACCCUAGAUCUAGAGCACCUCUAGUACAAGAAUUGAACCAAAAAAUCACUAAAAAAUAGCAUCAAGCUAGGGCACUAACUAACCUUUUGGAACUUUCUCACCAAAGAAAUGAAGAUCAAAACCUCCCCCUUAGAAAUUGUUCUUGUCUGGUCCGCCACCGUACACAACUCACGGGAGUAACUGUUCUUGUCUGGAGGUGGACGAAGGGUAUUUAUAACAAGAUUAACACAAGCGGUUUAUAAAGAGGGC
rnacentral:lncRNA from 1 species